GGUAAGAUCUCUAAUUGUCAAAUACUUUAAAAAAAUGAUAAACAUUGAUACAUAAGUUUCAGCUAUCGAAAAUCUUUUUGGUUCUUAAUAUAUGUGAAGAGAUUUUCUUUCAAGUUUUGCCCUUUGUACUGUUGAUUGCAGGUGCAGACAGAUCCUGAAGAGUUGCUAAUAAUUAAGACUAGGGAGUCACUUUUGGAUGCUCUGACACAGCAUGUCAAGGCGAAUCACGAAUACGAGUUGCCAGAAGUGAUCGCCUUGCCAUAACCGGUGGCAACCUCCAAUAUCUUGAAUGGAUAAAGAAUAGCACAAGGGACUGAACUGGUAAAGCCAAGACUAUAUACAGGAAUAUGCAUCGUUUCUUGGAAUAAAUAAAUUCCCUUUUGGUUGUAUAUAUAGCACUUUGUGCAUACUGUCGCAUGAGCAGUGGAUGUUUAUGUUGCCUUUACUAAUAGAUUGGAUUGGAUAUUGUUUGCCUGAACCACUGUACGUUUGACGCAUCCAUGACCUGUUUUUCAACUCCAGGAAAAAGGGAAGGAUAAAAAAAAACAUGACACGAGCAGCAGCCAAUAUUCUCUCUC